GUCCAGACUCCUACGGGAGGCAGCAGUGAGGAAUAUUGGUCAAUGGCCGGAAGGCUGAACCAGCCAAGCCGCGUGAGGGAGGAAGGUACAGAGUAUCGUAAACCUCUUUUGUCAGGGGACAAAGACUGGGACGCGUCCCCGGAUGGGUGUACCUGAAGAAAAAGCAUCGGCUAACUCCGUGCCUGCAGCCGCGGUAAUACGGAGGAUGCGAGCGUUAUCCGGAUUUAUUGGGUUUAAAGGGUGCGUAGGCGGGCUUUUAAGUCAGCGGUAAAAAUUCGGGGCUCAACCCCGUCCGGCCGUUGAAACUGGGGGCCUUGAGUGGGCGAGAAGAAGGCGGAAUGCGUGGUGUAGCGGUGAAAUGCAUAGAUAUCACGCAGAACUCCGAUUGCGAAGGCAGCGCACCGGCGCCCUACUGACGCUCAGGCACGAAAGCGUGGGUAUCGAACAGGAUUAGAUACCCUAGUA
rnacentral:rRNA from 1 species